GUUGUGAGCCAAUCGCGGAGAACACUGAGGUCGAUCAGGAGGAGCCCCCCCUGCAGCAGGAGUCGACCACCAAGUUCAUCAAGAAGAAGCAGCCUUCCAAGAAGGUCAAGAGCAAGUCAGAUUCUUCGAAAGAAUCGUCGAAAGAAGGGAAGAAAGAGUCCUCGAAAGAAAG